rnacentral:rRNA from 1 species
GACGAACGCUGGCGGCGUGCUUAACACAUGCAAGUCGAACGGAAAGGCCCUGCUUUUGUGGGGUGCUCGAGUGGCGAACGGGUGAGUAACACGUGAGUAACCUGCCCUUGACUUUGGGAUAACUUCAGGAAACUGGGGCUAAUACCGGAUAGGAGCUCCUGCUGCAUGGUGGGGGUUGGAAAGUUUCGGCGGUUGGGGAUGGACUCGCGGCUUAUCAGCUUGUUGGUGGGGUAGUGGCUUACCAAGGCUUUGACGGGUAGCCGGCCUGAGAGGGUGACCGGCCACAUUGGGACUGAGAUACGGCCCAGACUCCUACGGGAGGCAGCAGUGGGGAAUAUUGCACAAUGGGCGGAAGCCUGAUGAAGCAACGCCGCGUGCGGGAUGACGGCCUUCGGGUUGUAAACCGCUUUCGCCUGUGACGCAGCGUGAGUGACGGUAAUGGGUAAAGAAGCACCGGCUAACUACGUG